UGGCGCCACGUUUCUAUUUCUUCUCUGUCGGUAAUGUCAGUUUCGACGUUUACUCCAUCAUCAUAAGUUGAGUAAUUUACAAAUUACACCGCAAAAACUAAGUUUUGGAUAGUUUUUAUGGUAUUUAUGGAAAAAAUUGGAUUGAUGAUCAGAUUUACAAAUAUUUAUUGUCAAAUUUUUGAUAUAAAUGUGUAUAAACAACAACUGCAGUUCAUUCCAUCUUUUUUUUUUCAACUUUUAGUACUUGAAAAUGUACAUAUACAUAAAAAUUCAUUCACCUGGCUCGAUAACGCAUUUUAAUAAUACGUUGCGUUAAAAUAAAGCGAAAUAUAUAAAAAAUAUUAUUCACAAUGUUUUCUUUAGCUCAGUACUAAUAAAAAACAGUUAUUUUUAAGGACACGUUUUGCAGGUAUUAAUAUUGUCUACAGAUUUGUGAAAAUAAUUAUUAUUAAUUGUCCCUAAUGUAUUAAUAUAAUCUAUCAUCAAAUUUUACUGCAUGAAUAUAAUCACAGAAAGUAGCCAUGGACUUACAUGAAGAACCAUAUUAUUUACGAUAACGCAAUGUAUGCUGCAAUUAUCGUGCACUCGUGUAAUCCCGUACUUAACUCAUUGUGCAAUUUUACAAAAAGCGAAACUGUUUAAAGUAAGUAAUCAUAUUUCUUGACAAACAUGUA